UUUCAUUUUCCUGGGUCCGAUCCCGCGGGAAAAAGUCUGCACAAAACUGUGUUGGUGAAGAUGAUGACGACAAUGGCAGUUGGGGGAGAAAUUUGGCAAUUGUUUUGGCCUUUCUCGCGGCCUGUCUUCGCUCCUUUGCCUUUGCAGCAAUGGAAGAUGAUGAGUUCAAUGUUGUGCUUUGACGCCGAGUAGAAAAUUUGAAUCGCAAACGCCAUCUUGGGCUUUAUUUAUGGAAGAAACUGCUCUCCACGAUUUGCUGGUUUCGCCGACUGGCAUCGAGAAGUAGACGAGCUGAGCUUUCCAAGAGCUGCGGACACCAAGCUCUCAUGGCGGAUCUUAGUAGAUCGUGCUCCAACGCGUCUUGGCAUUGUGUGAGAACAGCACGAAGAGGACCUUGGGUAUUAACGCGUCUUGGCAUUGUGUGAGAACAGCACGAAGAGGACCUUGGGUAUUGCAGCCUUUCCGCAGAAGGGGAAUGACUCGCUUCUUUGUACUAGUGUGCAAACAUCCAUGUGUUCUCCCAGUACUGCUGUUAGCUCAGCCAGAGGAUUAUCGCAGAUCUGAGUGUGACAAGCGACCAGCUGUAAUAGCUUUGUUGUGAAUGCUUGCACUGCUGUCAACUACCGUAAAGUCCGGAGCAAACGCCCACCCCAUUUUUGCAAGAUCUGCUGGCCUGUACACACUGACCCCAUGCACUGUCACCCCUACUGUACGAAAGUGCAUCUCACACCGUAGCGGGAAGAGCACUUUGCUACGGUAAACUAUGUCCACUUUCCUGGUUUCAAAAUCUCUUUGUGCACUAGCUGCGCUAUAGCCACGAGCUAGCUAGCUCGUUGUGAUUAUAUAAUGAUGGUUGUUUUAUUUCGCAAAUCCGAACGGGUUUUCUUCCGAAUAACAAGGUAGCGAACAACAGAGUAUUGAAGGAACCAAAUACACUUCUGACGGUGUUUCAAGCCAUCAUUUCGAGAUCACACAGCGCCCAAAGGCAAAUGUUUUCUUGGGCACUUCGGAGUUUUCAACAAGUAACAGUUAGCAGCGACAUUGUAGGUGUAGCUUCUGUGACAUACCCUGUUCGACUUGCAACUGCAAUAUUGGGACCAGUCAAGCCGUUGACUGACGCUUCAUCAGAACAAUUAUUAUUCCUGACAGCGCGACGGCGACAUCGUGGCACUGCACAAAUUUCUGCGACAUUACUCGUACCACAUGGAGAACGAACUACCACAAAGACGAUACAUUUAUUGAAUGAAAGGAAAUCUCGACAGAAGUUAUUUCUUUGCAGGAAGAUACUGACAAUGGCUACUCGGUGCCAAAGGGCUUAUCCUCAACACCGGAAAGACGCAAGUGCUUGCAAUCAAAGCUGGACGGCAGGCACACCUCGACCUCCACAUUACUUGCACUGGCACGCCUCUUGCCCAGACCAGUAUGGCUCGCUACCUCGGAGUCACUCUGGACGAAAAUCUUCGCUGGUCACCGCAAGUCACCUCUAUCGUCCGACGCACGGCUAUGAAGCUGCGGAUCCUCCGCCAGAUCCGGCACUGCCUAACAGUGCUCCGGACUUUACGGUAUUAUCUAUUCUAGCUGUGCCUCAUAGCACUUCUUGCAAAAGACAUCAUUCUAUGCUAUUGUCAUGUUCUUACUUCUUGGAACUGCUGAGACCGUUUCAUAGUGGGAACACUUCAUCUGUGCCUGUUUGUCCAUAACUGUCUUACAUGUGCUGCAAUGCCGCCUAUAUUGGCUCGGCGUGCACUUUUGAGCUUGUCCGCUACGUUCCGUUUCAUACACUUCUGUAGUAACGCAAUGAAGAUUCUCAUUGACACUCCUUUACACAGCCAGCGUAUGUGGAUAUUAGUCUGUAGGUGGCUGCAAUUUGGGUUUUUGUCUUUCGCCGUUCACUAUUUUACCAAAAUAUUCCAAUAUUCUGCA